rnacentral:rRNA from 1 species
GAUCCGGUGGUUCUGUAUGGAAGGGCCAUCGCUCAAAGGAUAAAAGGUACUCCGGGGAUAACAGGCUGAUCUUACCCAAGAGCUCAUAUCGACGGUAAGGUUUGGCACCUCGAUGUCGGUUCGUCACAUCCUGGGGCUGGAGAAGGUCCCAAGGGUUCGGCUGUUCGCCGAUUAAAGUGGCACGUGAACUGGGUUCAGAACGUCGCAAGACAGUUCGGUCCCUAUCUGUGGUGGGCGCUAGUAAAUUGAGAGGACAUGACUUUAGUACGAGAGGACCGAGUCGUAUGUACCGCUGGUGAAUCGGUUGUGGUGCCAACUGCAGUGCCGAGUAGCUACGUACAGCCAGGAUAAACGCUGAAAGCAUCUAAGCGUGAAACCUUCCUCAAGAUGAGUUUACUUUUAAGGGUCGUCAGAGACUAUGACGUUGAUAGGCUAUAGGUAUACAGAUGGUAACAUCAAAGCCGAGUAGUACUAAUUACCCGUA